UACAGAGGUGGCGAGCGUUGUUCGGAUUUACUGGGCGUAAAGGGUGCGUAGGCGGUUCUGUGUGUCGGAUGUGAAAUCUUGCCGUUCAACGGCAAAACUUCAUUCGAAACUACAGAUCUCGAGUGCAGGAGAGGAGAGCGGAAGUCUCGGUGUAGCGGUGAAAUGCGUUGAUAUCGAGAGGAACGCCGGAGGCGAAGGCGGCUCUCUGGACUGGAACUGACGCUGAGGCACGAAAGCUAGGGGAGCAAACAGG
rnacentral:rRNA from 1 species